AAAAACUGCGUGCAAUCUGGAAUGUUGUUAAAAGUGCAGAGUUUUCAUGGUUCAUUGGUGAAUUUUGCAGUUUCCAGUCUUAGUUUCAGUCUCAAGGCCACUUCCUGGAACAAUUAGGUUCAUUGCUGGAAGGUAGGACGGAAUGGAGUAAACGUCGCCACUGUCCCCAAGGCUUCUAUAAUGCAUGAUUAUCCGGUAGGGGUGGAGGUGGAGGUGGAAGAAAGUAUGGAGGUGCGGCGGUGUAGGAGGAAGGAGUGGAGGGAAGAAGAUGAGGAUAAAUUUGUCCUUUCACUUUGCUUAUAGAGUGAUCUUGCAGAUUUGGUACAAAACAUUAAUAAGUUGGCAGAGUUGAUGGAUAAUAUUUGGUCUCGAGGAACAUUGAGG